rnacentral:tRNA from 1 species
CAUAUUAUGCCUGAAAUUACAAGGGCUAUUUUGAUGUAAUAGAUAUGCUAAAACUGUUAGCUAAUAUGA